rnacentral:rRNA from 1 species
UACGUAGGUGGCGAGCGUUAUCCGGAAUGAUUGGGCGUAAAGGGUGCGUAGGCGGCCUGCUAAGUCUGGAGUGAAAGGUACCGGCUCAACCGGUACAGGCUCUGGAAACUGGCGGGCUAGAGAGCAGGAGAGGGCGGUGGAACUCCAUGUGUAGCGGUAAAAUGCGUAGAUAUAUGGAGGAACACCGGUGGCGAAGGCGGCCUGCUGGACUGCAACUGACGUUGAGGCCCGAAAGCGUGGGGAGCAAACAGG